rnacentral:lncRNA from 1 species
UUUCUUCACAGAACUGGAAAAAUCCACCAUGAACUUCAUAUGGAACCAAAAGAGAGCCCGCAUAGCCACAUCAAUUCUAAGCAAAAAGAACACAGCAGGAGGUCUUGCUGACUUCAAAUGUGGGACUACCUUAAAAUACUUCAUGCGUGAAAAUACUGAAUUUUCAUCAGAUUCUUCAGGUGGGUGGUUAUGAAUUGAGAGUGAGUGAUUAGAGAUUCUUCUUAGCAGUGUUCUUUUUUUUUUUUUUUAACGUCUUCCCUCUAGCUAAGGCUGAGACAGACAUGGACCCCCAUCAUCAUGCUGCCUGUACGUGGUGGAUUAUUUUCUCACUCACUUUCUGAGAAAACUGGAUUUUUUUUUCUAAAAAAAAUCUAAGCUC